UAAAUGCUUGAGUACCCUCUGCAACAGGAAGAGAGUCGGUGAUUGUGUGAUAACUUCUAGUUUUGUUAAUUAGGCAUCAAAGAAAUUGAAACCCGCUGAUGACGCAAAUUUUAAAAGCAGUUUCCUUCCCCUAAUUGAUAAUCAUAACUUGAAUAUUUUGGUGUGAAAUCGACUAUAAAAUCUACCUCUGAAAACAAUUUGUAACGAGUGAAAACACCAAUUUUGUCGAAAAGCUUGAAGAAUAUCAAUUUUUGAUCAACAAUAAUGAAUCAAUUUUUGGUGGCAGUUUUGUUCGUUGUUUUGGUCCCAAUUUUUUUCGAGUGCGUAGCGAAAGCCUACUCGCCUCUUCGAAAUGCGGAAUUUGACCAAAGUAACGAUGAGAUAGGAGCAAGCCAGCGUGGUAGUCCAGACGGAAAUUGGGUACAUCAGAAGUUCAGAAACUAUGGAUUUGAUAAAGAGAGGUUUUUGGCCGGACUGCGUGACGACUUGUUUCCCUUAAGUGCCCCUCAGCCGAUGAAGAGAGACGGCGUCAUCCGGGGCUUCUUAGUGCAGAGGUCAAACCCCACAAUCGAGACAAAGGAGCAAAAAUAAACCAACGGUCGACACAGCUAACUUUCAACAAUUGAUCAGAUGACUGCUUUGAUCACAAAUAUGGAACAUUAUUUAUGUUGCGAAGAAAUUUUAACUUCAGAGUUUUUUCAUUUUUA